rnacentral:lncRNA from 1 species
CCCAAGCUGCCACUGCAGCAGUAAAGAGUAGCAGCCCCAGGCUCAGUCUAUGCUGUGCCAACUGGCUGGUGCUGGGGAGGCUUUAACAAGAGAUUUUUGCAUCUUAGCUCCUUGGAGAACAGAGCAGGAGUGCCAUUUCUGUAGAGGACCAUGUUGCGUCGCAAACCCUCCAACGCCAGUGACAAAGAGCCCACUCAGAAGAAAAAGGUAAGGCGCAUCUUUGAGCGUACACUCCUUCCUUCUCUCCUCUACACUCUCUACCAAGGCCUUCAUGGACUCUUAGAAGGUGGAAGUUGAACCAAGGCUCUAUGUUGAGCUUGGACGUGAGGGUUCUUCCAGAAAGCAAGGGGAUGGGGCUCAACGCUCACUUGAGUAGUAAAAGUACUGAAGGUACUUUCUAAACUCUGGAAUACAGAGCUAUGAGUUGGGCCUUUGGAAGUCUAGAGUGAUAGACUGAAGAACAUAAGAGUUAAAUCCACAGACAUCAGUUGGAGAGUUACAAAAUGUCGUGUUCAAAUUGAAUCCAAAGAGCGUAAUUAAUUUUGUCUCUCUAGCUCGGGUUCUGUGUUGCUUUUGCUCGAGUGUGUCCUCUGGGGACUACCUCAUUCAAAGGGCCCUACUAGCCUACCCAGCCAAGGUGGUCACAGACUCCCUAACUCUUUGGCAGGAGCCAUAGCCAUUUCCCACUAGGCUCAGAUCUACAACAUCUCCCCCAGGCCACUGGAGAUGAAGCAGUAAGUAAAUUUCAGACUCAGGAAAAGAGCCCACCCAAAUGCCGUAAAGUUCAGGUGGUGGUGGUGGUGUGUGUGUGUGUGUGGGGGGGGUUGAACAGGUUCUUUCUGGGCAAGUGAACUUAUGAAGAAUGAGAAAUGGAGCUGAUGACUUGCAUGGUGAGUAGGUGUGAGAGCUAAGGGGGAAAAGUUCGUUGGGGGAGGGAAGGGGAUUUCAAAGUCCAGGAAGGAAGGUAGCUGUCAAAAAUGGCUGAAGUGUUCAUCUUCCUGAGACAGGAGCUAGACUGAAUGAUUCUUGAAGACUCUGAUAUCCAGGUUUCCCUGGCUGUAUGUAUAGAGUUCAUUUUAUGUCAGGACUCUCCCAGGCAAUCAGCCUGUCCAGUCUGCAUGUCUAAGUGGACCACAGGAAUGGUCCAAAGCAGGCCUGACUAGAUCCAAGCACCCAAGCCUUAAUCAGGGGCCUCCAGGACUCUCACUGUGCCCUAUCCAUUUUUCCAUGGAAUUCAACUCAGGUGCACUGUGGGGGGAUGCCCCCUUGUCAGAACAGUUCCCAGGCAGUGGGCGACAACUAAGAGACAGGCUGAGAGCAUUGGGGUGUGCAUCCUGUCCCACCUCUCAGGAUCUGGGUGGCUGCCGCUUUCGGCUGUACUCUCUCCACUUCAGCUGCUUCUGUAAGAUCGCAGUGGCGGGUAGGUGGAGAAGGGUAAGAUUUGUGAAUAUUCACACAGGGCCUUGUCACCCCACCCCCCCACCCCCGCCAAAACUAGGCCCCAAAGGCUUGUCAUUGGCUGCCACUCCUCAAGAGCAAAGCCACUUCCCCUUGCUCUCAAGCUCAUGAGAAAAACAGAGACUGCUAUAUAGACCCUGGUAGGCCCCAAACCACAGCAGAAUCAAGCUGGAAGAAAAAGUCUGAGAAAGAGCUGACACCAGAGUCCGCAGCUACCUCAGGUAGAGGUGCCCCAAGGCCUACAGAAUAAGAAACCCCUUUCCUCUCUCUUGGCUCCAGUUACUCAGAUCCUGCAUCUGGGAAUCCCUCCAGGUUUCCUCUAGAAAAGUCUGUGGUCCACAUCCUUUAGUCCACACAAACUGCACCUCACCCCUGCCAGGGCCUCUGGCAGCCUCCAGGAGGCCAGAUGAGUUUGCCUUUACAUAUUCAAGCCCCAUACUAUAAAAAUGCCCUUAACACAACCAAACCUCCAGAAGAUGUGGCAUCGUCCCAAGGCCCAGAGACAGUAGCCAGCUUCAUCUUUGAUUGCCAGAUGACUGAAGUCAAGUCUCUUCCCUUUGGAAACUGAGGUGAUGUGAUAGAAGGGAAUAUACAGGGACAAAGGAAGCUCCUCCCUCCUGUUCCUGCCUCUUUUCCUCCUUCAGCCAAUGAAAAUGUACUGGAGAGAGGGCAAGAAAGUGGAGUUAGAAUGCUCCCAUUCUGCCAUAGGAGCCUGGACAGUACUUCCCCUGGGCCUCAGUUUCUUCACCUCUGAAAGAAAAGGUGAUCUCUGGAGGUAGGGCUCACUGGAAUAAUAGCUGUGAGAGCACCCUCUCCGGUGUGUGCUUCUGCCUACAAGGGGGUGCUAGCUUUGGCAUGAGCCCAGAUGGAGCAGACACACAGCAAAGAAUAAACCAAGGUCCCAGUCUUGAAGUACAGAAAGCAGGGCCUAACGGUAUGGAGAGCCACACUGAGGGAAGGCUUGUCAGCGGCCACGUGCUACACUCUGUACCUCAGUCACGGUUUAGCUUGCGGAGUUUUCACUGCAACCUCAGAGUAGAGACAGGUAUAUACUGAUUUCACACUGGACACUCCGACUGGGGACAUUUGCUGGAGCUAUCACAGAGAGUGUGUUGCAGCGUUCCAAGCCAGGGUGCUUAAUUUCAGAAUCUUCUCUCCUUCUCUCUGCAUACCCUUGUCCCAUAACUGAUCUCAGAAGCACUAAGAGAGAGU